rnacentral:tRNA from 3 species
GCACCCGUAGCUCAGCUGGAUAGAGUGCUGCCCUCCGAAGGCAGAGGUCGUAGGUUCGAAUCCUACCGGGUGCGCCA